rnacentral:rRNA from 1 species
AGUCGAACGGUAACAGUCUCUUCGGAGAGCUGACGAGUGGCGCACGGGUGCGUAACGCGUAUGCAAUCUACCUCUAACUGGAGAAUAGCCCGGGGAAACUCGGAUUAAUACUCCAUAAUAUCACAACAUCACCUGGUGACGUGAUUAAAGCUUUGGCGGUUAGAGAUGAGCAUGCGUCCUAUUAGCUAGUUGGCGAGGUAACGGCUCACCAAGGCAGCGAUAGGUAGGGGGUCUGAGAGGAUGAUCCCCCACACUGGUACUGAGACACGGACCAGACUCCUACGGGAGGCAGCAGUGAGGAAUAUUGGUCAAUGGACGAAAGUCUGAACCAGCCAUGCCGCGUGCAGGAUGACGGCCCUUCGGGUUGUAAACUGCUUUUAUAUGGGAAGAAACCCCCCUACGUGUAGGGGGCUGACGGUACCAUACGAAUAAGCAUCGGCUAACUCCGUGCCAGCAGCCGCGGUAAUACGGAGGAUGCAAGCGUUAUCCGGAUUCAUUGGGUUUAAGGGGUCCGUAGGCGGGCUUUUAAGUCAGAGGUGAAAGCCUACAGCUUAACUGUAGAAAUGCCUUUGAUACUGGAAGUCUUGAGUAUAGUUGAAGUGGGCGGAAUACGUCAUGUAGCGGUGAAAUGCAUAGAUAUGACGUAGAACACCUAUUGCGAAGGCAGCUCACUAAGCUAUAACUGACGCUGAGGGACGAAAGCGUGGGGAGCGAACAGGAUUAGAUACCCUGGUAGUCCACGCUGUAAACGAUGAUAACUCGCUGUUAGCGAUACACAGUUAGCGGCUAAGCGAAAGCGUUAAGUUAUCCACCUGGGGAGUACGUUCGCAAGAAUGAAACUCAAAGGAAUUGACGGGGGCCCGCACAAGCGGUGGAGCAUGUGGUUUAAUUCGAUGAUACGCGAGGAACCUUACCAGGGCUUAAAUGCAGAGCGACCGAUGCCGAAAGGUAUUUUCCCUUUCGGGGCGGUCUGCAAGUGCUGCAU